rnacentral:rRNA from 1 species
CGGCGGGGCCUAAUCAUGGCAAGUCGAGCGGACAGAUGGGAGCGGCCCUGAUGUCAGCGGCGGAGGGGGGGCCGUGGGUAACCUGCCUGUAAGACUGGGAUAAUGGGGAGGCCGGGGCUAAUACCGGAUGCUUGAUUGAACCGCAUGGUUCAAUUAUAAAAGGUGGCUUUUAGCUACCACUUUCAAAGGGACCCGCGGCGCAUUAGCUAGUGGGGGAGGUAACGGCUCACCUGGGCAACAAUGCGUAGCCAACCUGAGAGGGUGAUCGGCCACACGGGGACUGAAACACGGCCCAAACUCCUACGGGAGGCAGCAGUAGGGAAUCUUCCGCAAUGGAUUAAAGUCUGACGGACCACCGCCGCGGGAGUGAUGAAGGUUUUCGAAUCGAAAAACUCUGUUGUUAGGGAAGAACAAUUACCGUCUAAUAGGGGGGUACCUUGACGGUUCUUAACCAGAAAGCCACGGCUAACUACGUGCCACCAGCCGCGGUAAUACGUAGGUGGCAAGCGUUGUCCGGAAUUAUUGGGCGUAAAGCGCGCGCAGGUGGUUUCUUAAGUCUGAUGUGAAACCCCCCGGCUCAACCGGGGAGGGUCAUUGAAAACUGGGAAACUUGAGGGAAAAAAAGGAGAGUGGAAUUCCACGUGUAGCGGUGAAAUGCGUAAAGAUGUGAAGGAACACCAGUGGCAAAGGCGACUCUCUGGUCUGUAACUGACGCUGAGGCGCGAAAGCGUGGGGAGCAAACAGGAUUAAAUACCCUGGUAGUCCACGCCGUAAACGAUGAGUGCUAAGUGUUAGAGGGUUCCCCCCCUUUAGGGCUGCAGCAAACGCAUAACGCACUCCGCCUGGGGAGUACGGUCGAAAGACUGAAACUCAAAGAAUUGACGGGGGCCCGCACAAGCGGGGAAGCAUUGUGUUUUAAUUCAGAACCACCGAGAAAAACCUAACAAGGUCUUGACAUCCUCUGAAAACCAUAAGAGAUGGUCUUCCCCUUCGGGGGCAGAAGUGACAGGUGUGGCAGGGUCGUCUUCAGCUCAUGUGCCGAGAAUGUUGGUUAAGUCCCCGCAUCCGAAGCGCAAUCCUUGAAUCUUAGUUUGCAAGCAUUUCAGUUGGGGGACACUCUUUAAGGGGGAACUGGGCCGGGUGAACAAACCGGGGAGGGAUAGGGUUGGGGAAAGGUACACUCCUCAAAAAUUACUAUUCUCAUGUGUUCCCCCCCU